CCUACGUGCGGCAGCAGUGGGGGAUAUUGCACAAUGGGGGGAACCCUGAUGCAGCGACGCCGCGUGGGUGAAGAAGCGCCUCGGCGCGUAAAGCCCUGUCAGCAGGGAAGAAAAUGACGGUACCUGAACAAGAAGCCCCGGCUAACUACGUGCCAGCAGCCGCGGUAAUACGUAGGGGGCAAGCGUUAUCCGGAUUUACUGGGUGUAACGGGGGCGCAGACGGCGAUGCAAGCCAGAAGUGAAAGCCCGGGGCCCAACCCCGGGACUGCUCUUGGAACUGCGAGGCUGGAGUGCAGGAGGGGCAGGCGGAAUUCCGAGUGUAGCGGUGAAAUGCGUAGAUAGCAGGAGGAACACCAGUGGCGAAGGCGGCCUACUGGACUGUAACUGACGUUGAGGCCCGAAAGCGUGGGGAGCAAACAGGAUUAGAUACCCCAGUAGUC
rnacentral:rRNA from 1 species